UGAACACGUUAUUUAGUCCUGAAGAAAUGUU
rnacentral:piRNA from 1 species